rnacentral:rRNA from 1 species
GAUGAACGCUAGCGGCAGGCUUAAUACAUGCAAGUCGAGGGGUAGCAAGAUUGUAGCAAUACAAUUGUUGACGACCGGCAAACGGGUGCGGAACACGUACACAACCUUCCUACAAGUGGGGAAUAGCCCAGAGAAAUUUGGAUUAAUACCCCAUAGCAUAACGGAGUGGCAUCACUUUGUUAUUAAAGAUUUAUCACUUGAAGAUGGCUGUGCGGCUGAUUAGGUAGUUGGCGGGGUAACGGCCCACCAAGCCUGCGAUCAGUAACUGGUGUGAGAGAACGACCAGUCACACGGGCACUGAGACACGGGCCCGACUCCUACGGGAGGCAGCAGUAAGGAAUAUUGGUCAAUGGACGAAAGUCUGAACCAGCCAUGCCGCGUGGAGGAUGAAGGUCCUCUGGAUUGUAAACUUCUUUUAUAUGGGACGAAAAAGGGCUUUUCUAAGUCGUCUGACGGUACCAUAUGAAUAAGCACCGGCUAACUCCGUGCCAGCAGCCGCCGUAACAC